rnacentral:rRNA from 1 species
AGCGCAGGCGGACCGGCAAGUUGGAAGUGAAAACUAUGGGCUCAACCCAUAAAUUGCUUUCAAAACUGCUGGCCUUGAGUAGUGCAGAGGUAGGUGGAAUUCCCGGUGUAGCGGUGGAAUGCGUAGAUAUCGGGAGGAACACCAGUGGCGAAGGCGACCUACUGGGCACCAACUGACGCUGAGGCUCGAAAGCAUGAUAGCAAACA